rnacentral:rRNA from 1 species
GACAGAGGUGCCGAGCGUUAGGCGGAAUCACUGGGCUUAAAGCGUGUGUAGGCGGAUCGUUAAGUACCUUGUGAAAUCCCACGGCUUAACCGUGGAACUGCUUGGUAUACUGGCGAUCUUGAGCCACUUAGGGGCUACCGGAACAAAUGGUGGAGCGGUGAAAUGCGUAGAUAUCAUUUGGAACGCCAAUGGUGAAAACAGGUAGCUGGGGCUGUGCUGACGCUGAGACACGAAAGCCAGGGGAGCAAACGGG